rnacentral:rRNA from 1 species
UAUGAAGGCGGGCUGGAAUCUCUCGGGGUUACAGCCUUGCUGAAUUAUUCACCCUUGUCUUUUGCGUACUUCUUGUUUCCUUGGUGGGUUCGCCCACCACUAGGACAAACAUAAACCUUUUGUAAUUGCAAUCAGCGUCAGUAACAAAUUAAUAAUUACAACUUUCAACAACGGAUCUCUUGGUUCUGGCAUCGAUGAAGAACGCAGCGAAAUGCGAUAAGUAGUGUGAAUUGCAGAAUUCAGUGAAUCAUCGAAUCUUUGAACGCACAUUGCGCCCUUUGGUAUUCCAAAGGGCAUGCCUGUUCGAGCGUCAUUUGUACCCUCAAGCUUUGCUUGGUGUUGGGCGUCUUGUCUCUAGCUUUGCUGGAGACUCGCCUUAAAGUAAUUGGCAGCCGGCCUACUGGUUUCGGAGCGCAGCACAAGUCGCACUCUCUAUCAGCAAAGGUCUAGCAUCCAUUAAGCCUUUUUUCAACUUUUGACCUCGGAUCAGGUAGGGAUACCCGCUGAACUUAAGCAUAUCAAAUAAGCGGAGGAAA